GUGCCUUAAACUAAUGAGUAAGGAAAACAAAGUGAGCAGUGGGAACUGCUCACAGAAAUCUUGCGCAAUAAUUUAUUGAGGGGUUAUAGGCUGGCCGAGAGUUGAUGCUGCUUACUUUGCAGAACUCUCUCGCGCGGGCCUCCUAAACCC
rnacentral:snRNA from 1 species